GACGAUCUCAAAUCCUUACAAGUGGUUCCACGACAUCACCACUUCGGGGGCUUGGCUCGCCGACGAUAUAAGUGAAAUGAAAAUAUUGUUAUUUAUUAUAUAUGUUCAAAAUAAAUUUUUUGAAUGAAAUUUAUAGAUUAACUCCUUUUUUUAUUGGUGUUUCUUGAUAUAGCACAUCGACUUGAGCAUGGAUUUGCUACGAGAUCGUGCUGAAAGACAUCCAAAAUCGUUCAACAUUUCUGGCAGACUCAUAUUGAACACCGAGCUCAUCCGUGCCGUUGACAUUGAGUACCACUCGUUUCAGGCUAUGGGUAGCGAGUACAUGGUGCCGGAAUAUAUGAUGGAAUGGGUCGUAGGGAUGUGACCGAGUGUCGGUGGAAAGCCAUGGGAUGGCUGUACGCAUAUGUACAUACCAGUAUGUGUGAAUCAUCACUACAUUGCAGUGAAAAUCGUAUUCGCCGACUCCACGAUGUAUGUGUUCGACCUCGAUCAUUCAUGCCUGACACAAGGCCAGCUCGAGCAAAAUCUAGAGUCGGUGUUUGUGAUCGUUCCCAUGAUGGCUAGACAAGUGAACAUCAUUGUACAUGACAGAUUCGCCACCAUGCGGAACACGACGACGGCGAGGCAGCAAAUAUCGUAAGUAUUUGUAAUUUUCUUUUUGUCAUUUACAUCUUAGUAACUAACUAAUUUUCGAUGUGCUAAUACAACAUUGUUUAAUUGUAUGGGUGAUUGCGGCAUGAUCGUCAUCAAGUACAUAGAAUUUUUUAGUAUGGCACAUAAGGUUGAGGCAAUCAACCAGGUAUGGAUACAAAAUUGGAGAAAUAAACUAGUAUGUGAUUUAUUUGAAUUUAAUGGGAAUCCGUAAAUAAUUGUACAUAUUUUUACAUUUAUUUAAACAUUGUACAGUUCAUUCAUUUAUUUGUAAUUACGAAAGAAUUGUAAAAUGUUAAUUAUUUAUGUAAUA
rnacentral:lncRNA from 1 species